rnacentral:rRNA from 1 species
GCUGGCGGCAUGCCUACACAUGCAAGUCGUACGGAGAGUGGGGCAACUCACUCUCAGUGGCAAACGGGUGAGUAACGCGUGAAUAACCUGCCUUUGAGAAGGGGAUAACUGUCCGAAAGGAUAGCUAAUACCCUAUAUUGCCUUUUGUCACUAAGGCAAAAGGUGAAAGCGAGGCUGUCAAAGGCUUCGGCUCAAAGAGGGGUUCGCGUCCUAUCAGGUAGUUGGUGGGGUAAUGGCCUACCAAGCCAAUGACGGGUAGCUGGUCUUAGAGGAUGAUCAGCCACAGUGGGACUGAGACACGGCCCGCACCCCUACGGGGGGCAGCAGUGGGGAAUCGUGGGCAAUGGGCGCAAGCCUGACCCCGCAAUGCCGCGUGAGGGAAGAAGCCCUUCGGGGUGUAAACCUCUGUCAGAUGGGAAGAUGAGACUAGGGGCUAAUACCUCCUGGUCUUGACGGUACCAUCAGAGGAAGGGACGGCUAACUACGUGCCAGCAGCCGCGGUAAU